GACGAACGCUGGCGGCGUGCCUAACACAUGCAAGUCGAGCGAUGAAGCUCCUUCGGGAGUGGAUUAGCGGCGGACGGGUGAGUAACACGUGGGUAACCUGCCUCAUAGAGAGGGAUAGCCUUCCGAAAGGAAGAUUAAUACCUCAUAAGAUUGUAGUUUCGCAUGAAACGGCAAUAAAAGGAGCAAUCCGCUAUGAGAUGGACCCGCGUCGCAUUAGCUAGUUGGUAAGGUAAUGGCUUGCCAAGGCGACGAUGCGUAGCCGACCGUGAGAGGGUGAUCGGCCACGUUGGGACUGAGACACGGCCCAGACUCCUACGGGAGGCAGCAGUGGGGAAUAUUGCACAAUGGGGGAAACCCUGAUGCAGCAACGCCGCGUGAGUGAUGACGGUCUUCGGAUUGUAAAACUCUGUCUUUGGGGACGAUAAUGACGGUACCCAAGGAGGAAGCCACGGCUAACUACGUGCCAGCAGCCGCAGUAACAC
rnacentral:rRNA from 1 species